rnacentral:rRNA from 1 species
GGGUCAGUAGGUUGGUCGUGCCACCGGUACGUACUGGUCUCACUGAUUCCUCCUUCCUGAAGAACCGUAAUGCCAUUAAUUUGGUGUUGCGGGGAAACAGGACUGUUACUUUGAAAAAAUUAGAGUGUUUAAAGCAAGCUAACGCUUGAAUACAUUAGCAUGGGAUAAUGAAAUAGGACGAUCGAUCCUAUUUUGUUGGUCUCUAGGAUUGACGUA